rnacentral:rRNA from 1 species
CCUACGGGCGGCAGCAGUCGAGAAUCAUUCACAAUGGGGGAAACCCUGAUGGUGCGACGCCGCGUGGAGGAAUGAAGGUCUUCGGUUUUUAAACUCUUGUCACGUGGGAGCGAAUUAAAAAGAUAGUACCGCAUAAGCAAGAGCCGGCUAACUCCGUGCCAGCAGCCGCGGUAAUACAGAGGGCUCAAGCGUGGUUCGGAGUUACUGGGAGUAAAGGGUGCGUAGGCUGGUUCGUAAGUCGUGUGUGAAAGGCGCGGGCUCAACCCGCGGACGGCAUAUGAUACUGUGGGACUAGAGUAAUGGAGGGGGAACCGGAAUUCUCGGUGUAGCAGUGAAAUGCGUAGAUA